rnacentral:lncRNA from 10 species
GUGUGAUCGUGCGUCUGAGUCUGGGCUGAGACCAGUCCUGGCCAGGGCAGUUACCAGGACGGUCUCCGGAGGCCGGGAUUCGCGGAGGGUCCAGCAGCAGGAAGAAACCCCAGGAGGAAGAAACCUCAGACAGAUCGCCGGCGAGGCAGCGCGGGAUCCCAGCCUCAGGCGUGCGCGGACGGUGUGCGGGGCAGUUACCAGGACGGUCUCCGGAGGCCGGGAUUCGCGGAGGGUCCAGCAGCAGGAAGAAACCCCAGGAGGAAGAAACCUCAGACAGAUCGCCGGCGAGGCAGCGCGGGAUCCCAGCCUCAGGCGUGCGCGGACGGUGUGCGGCGCACACAACCAAGCUUAGGAGCCGACUGUUAAGAUGCCCCAGUGACACGGACAAGUUUCUCCUCUGCAACCCAAUGAGAGCUGCUGACCACGAGAGCAUCGCGGGACCGCCAAAGGAUUCUGGAAAAUGUGGUCCCGGGUGGCCAGUGUGCGCUGACCUUCACCUGAAGGUACGGCUUGAAGGAAACUUCUGGAGGGUGGGGUGGUGUUGAAGAGAAGGCACAAUUGUCACCAUUUUGUUCAACAUGGGCGUUUUCUUUGUGCAUUGAUUUGCAUUUUUAAAGGUAUUCCAUUAAAAAUAUGUUUAUCU